rnacentral:rRNA from 1 species
AACUCUAAUUCGACGACGUUUCUUCUGAGUGGCACAAGCAAAUAAUUAAAACUUUUAACAACGGAUCUCUUGGUUCUGGCAUCGAUGAAGAACGCAGCGAAAUGCGAUAAGUAAUGUGAAUUGCAGAAUUCAGUGAAUCAUCGAAUCUUUGAACGCACA